rnacentral:lncRNA from 1 species
AUUUUUCUGGGGUUCUUUAUGUGCUUGAGGCCUUCUGAUGAUCUGUGACUGGGUGGGAAGAGUAGGCUGGCUGCUUUCUAUCUGAAUUUUCUCCUUAGCAACUUGAUCUGGGACAGCGUGAACAGGCAUUGAUCAGUCUUUACGUGACAUGUGGAAGCUGCAGAGCUGGAUGCUUUCUGCCAUAGGACUCUAUAUGGACUGGCCAUCCGCAUUACACUCUUACUGAGCAUUCAAAAGACUUGUAGUGCUUUGAGCUCCUCUCUUCCCUUCUUCAAUGUGAAGAAAGGUUGAUAAGAGUUUAAAGGACCCCAGGGCAUAUGCUGGGCUGUGGCCUGCUGACUGCUCAUAAAUGUGCCUAUGUUUGCUUGUACAGUGCUACUGCCAUUGUUAAAUUAAAUGUGUUAACCGAAACCAGCCUGGCAUGGCACUCACCCUGGGGGCUGUGGGCUCUCUGGACUUGAGUCAGAUAAUGCAUCCGUCAUAUUAAGGGAUCUUUCUGUAUUUCAUUAAUUUGUCAUGAAGUAAGAGAAGGCUGAAUCUAACAAAUUUGGGCCAAGCAACAGUAAGCAGAAACAGUGACUGAGCUUCCAGCACUUUAACAACUGAGAUUUUUAUAACUAGAAGAAAAAAUGGUCUGAUUCUACCUUCUCAUAUUCCAGAGUGUUUUCAAAUUCUGAAGCAACUCUUGGGCAAGGUAGAAAGUUGUUCUAUUCAGGCGGAGGUUGUAAGGUUUCCUGAGAUCUCUGCUUUCCAUGCUCCCCCCCCCCAAAAAAUGAUAGAUUCUAUUUCAAGUGAAGGAAAAGCAAAUGAACAUUGCAAUGGUCUGGAUAGAACAAAGUGUGCUAUUGGCAAGGCAUUGCUGUUAUUCUAGGAGAUUCCCAUCAGCUGUGUGAGCAAUUCUGGUCAUGCUGGCAGAGCAGCAGGUAACCAGCUGUCCUUUUGCUUCACCUGGAGCAGUGCUAGGGAGCUCAGAGCUUUACAGCCCCUUGCUGGCAGAGACCCUCUGUCUCACUGGCACAGUAACUUAGGUCUGGCCUGCCAUAUAUUUCAAUCUAGCUGACAUAUGGCUGUAAAAUUAAUCAAUAGCCAAUGACUCUACUGAAGUGAUGCUGAAAUAUGCAAUGUGCCAUUACAGCGCAUCUGAUUUGCUUCUGCCCUUUAGGUAGGGCCAUAGGAACUCACCUUCACUAUCACUGUUUACAUGCAGACCACUGAGUGUGCACCUCUGUGCUGGGCUGGGAGCUGUGGGAAGGCAGCUACAUGCUGACCAAAGAGUAAUGUUGUGGUAGGUUGGGGCAGACUCAAGUCAGCAUUGAGCACAUCUUAAAGUCACAUAUCUGGGGGCUGAAUUCAAGCUUAUUUUUGAAAUUCAGUAUUUACCUUAAGAACUUAAAGUUUUUGCAUAUUAGUCAAAUUCAAAAAAAAAAAAAAAUCCUGGCACUUCUGUUUCAUCCUUCUGCCCACAGGUGAUAGCUGUGGCCACUGAACACCUUUAGUUACCCUGGCUUUAGGAAGUAUUUUCCCCAUUUAAAUCAUUUUCAAAUAAAUGUGGCAUAAUAAAACAGCCAAGUCAUGUCUGUUUUGGUUUUUUCCUUUGGACUUGCUCUUUCAGCAGGCUUUUUAGAGUGUGCAUCAAAAGCACUUGCUUCUGCCUUCUUACUUCGGACUCAUUGUCACCGAAAUUCAAAUGCAAUCUUUGUUUGAUAGGAUACUUAAUACAAAAUAGUAUCAAAAUGAAUCUUUAAACCUCAACCAAGCAGUGAGAACUUGUGAUUGUUGUUUCCCUUUUGAAAAAGGCCUCCAAGAAGAAAAAGUACUGUAAAAGGAGACGUUAAGUCCAAAAGACCCUUUUUUACAGCAUAAAAAUAGCUUUUAAACUCUUUGUUCUCAGCUAAGUAAUACAUGACAUUUGUUUAAGUAACUAAAAGUAUAAAUAAUAAACACUUUGUAAUUCUGAUUC